rnacentral:rRNA from 1 species
CAGCAGCCGCGGGAAUACGUAGGGUGCAAGCGUUAAUCGGAAUUACUGGGCGUAAAGCGUGCGCAGGCGGUUAUAUAAGACAGAUGUGAAAUCCCCGGGCUCAACCUGGGAACUGCAUUUGUGACUGUAUAGCUAGAGUACGGCAGAGGGGGAUGGAAUUCCGCGUGUAGCAGUGAAAUGCGUAGAUAUGCGGAGGAACACCGAUGGCGAAGGCAAUCCCCUGGGCCUGUACUGACGCUCAUGCACGAAAGCGUGGGGAGCAAACAGGAUUAGAGACCCGUGUAGUCCCUGUCUCUUAUAC